CACCGUCCUUGACAAUCUCUUUAUCAUUAAGGUUUAUGUCUCUCCAUUGUUUUAAAGCUCUAAUAAGAUGUGCUAAAUCCCAUUCUUGCCAAUUCCCUUGUCCUCUCACUAAGUCACUCUUUAUCCCUGGCAAUUUUUCAAGCACACUUCGUGUCAUUCCAUUCACACGCUCAACUUUUCCCAUUGUUUCAAGUGAUUGUACAUUAAAAAGCAGAAUUUUAUAGAAAUUGUUUAUCUCACCUGGAUCAGUACUUUUCACCACUUGUAACUCGAGAAUGUUCUGGACAUAGGCAUUGACAAUUUCGCUCGGUUUGCCGUACUCUCCUUUCAAGAUAUUUUUUGCCCUUUCAUACCCCUCUACGGUUAGAGGCAACCCAUCGAUAUCGGCUCUCACCUUCGGCUUAACAAACUCUUUCAAAUAGGUAAACUUCGUAACAGGCGACAGAUCGGCACCGUCAAUUUCAGCAACAAAUUUGUUCCAAAAGGGUGGCCAAUUCGCACAUUUCCCAUCGAACUGCGUAAUAGAUAGCUUCGGUAAUUUUGUCGACGCCGCCUUCUUUACUUGGUUUUGCUGUCCCGUUGCUAACACCUUCUGAAACUUUAGCUGUUGUUCAUAAAGUUCACGUUCGUGACUCAUUUUUUGUUCGUGCUUUUCGUCCUCGAUUGCCCUCUCUUGUUUAACUGAUUCGGCCAAUUCAACGGCCUGGUUUUCCUUCGCUAUAUUUUCUUUUAUUCGUUUUAAUUCUAACAAUUUCUCGUCGGCCGUUUUCAAAGUUCCUUCAAUGUCGACAAGCCAUUCUUGCACUUGCUCUUCAGUUUGUUUCUGACCGAAUUUCAAUUCUAUAAUGUCAUCUUUUAAGGCGUGACUCGCUUCGAUUUUACCUUUGAUUGACGCUUCGUGUCUAGUUAUCACAUCGAGGUUUCUCGUUUCGAUUUCUUGUUCGCUUUUACCCAACGUAAAUUUUAAUGUUCGUAGUUUCCCAUCAAGCUCUUGUAGUUUUGUCUCCAUGCUUUUCUUUCACUUCGUUUGUUUAGUUAUAUAUAAUAAAUCACUCGAUAAAUAGCGGUCGUAUAUCACUGUAGUUUGUACGCUGUCGUUUAGUUUCGAUUUGUCACUCGAUAAAUAUGCUAGGUUCUUGCUCUUGUUCGAGCUUAAAAUCUCACAAAUCCCGUCGGAGGUGCCAGUUGUUGAGAAUUGCCUCCCGUUGAUUCCCAACAUAAAUUAAAAUUACAAACACUGUGUAUUUCUAUAGUUUUAUUGACAAAAAUCUCAUGCUUCGCUGUGUUCUUUCCCGAAUCCCUCGCUAUGUAAACAUUCUCAACGGUAUCUUCCGGAGCUGUCCGACUGUCCGCGCGUAUACUCGCAUGUCCCACGCGAUAAUAAAAAAGCUAAAUAUAGUUUCCG
rnacentral:lncRNA from 1 species